AGAGCACAUAUGAGAGGUGGCGCUCACACAAAAAUACACCCACCCACCCUCAAUGUCACAUAAACUGUGCGAUGGCCUCGGUGUUAAAUGGAGUGGAAUUGAUUUUACGCAGUGAGCAGCAAAAGGCGGAGAGCAUCAUGAGGAGACCACACCACCACCACCACCUCCUCUAAAAUCCCCCACCCCAAAAAAGAAAAAAGAUUAUAGUUAUAUAAGUUUCCCUCCCACUCCCUCCAUCCUCUCCUCCAUCAGCAGGGGUGUUGUCAUAGCAACCCCCACCCCUCCUCUCCGAACGUCAUGAGCCAGGAGCUGGAGGAUGAAGCCCCGCAUGCAGCUUCUGCCUCUCGUGCCUCUCGGAGAGCACCUGUGAUUCUCUCUCUUCUCUUUUUUUUCGGAAGGGGGAGACGUCUCGCGUGCAACAGUCGGAGCUCGGAGAUAAUCUGAUGAUUGAUCGGACUCGCGGCUGCCGCACAUCGCAUACCAUCACACGCAGGAAGGCACACUGAUUCAGCAGCGUCUGCAGUAGUAAUGUCGUGGCUGUUCUUGGACUGGUUCGUCCCCCUCUACCUGCUGGUGUCGGUGUUGGUGCUGGCAGGCUUCGGAGCAUGCCUGUACUUCUUGGAGCCCGGCUUGCAGGAUGCCCACAAGUGGAGCAACAAAACAGUUCGGCAUCACCCGCUGGUGGCCAGCGUGAACUGCAGAGAUGACGAUAGCAACGCUCUGAUAUGAUCGAGAGGACGAGGAGAAGGAAGGGAGGCAGGGGCGCGCAGGCCAUCUGGACAGGGUGGGGGGGGGGGGGUGGUGCCAGGGCACCGGCGGGAUUGGAGCCAACACCUUAAAGAUGACGGAGGAGGGAGCUGACCUAUCAUUCCCACUUCUCCCUGAUCUCUGACACACUUCAAGCUGCAGAGAUCAGAGAAAAGUGAAUCAAACAAA